UCCGCGGUAGCUCAGUUGGUAGAGCGCUUCGCUGUUAACGAAGAUGUCACUGGUUCGAGUCCAGUCCGCGGAG
rnacentral:tRNA from 1 species